GAGGGUUUGAUCCUGGCUCAGAUUGAACGCUGGCGGCAGGCCUAACACAUGCAAGUCGAGCGGAUGAAGGGAGCUUGCUCCUGGAUUCAGCGGCGGACGGGUGAGUAAUGCCUAGGAAUCUGCCUGGUAGUGGGGGAUAACGUCCGGAAACGGGCGCUAAUACCGCAUACGUCCUGAGGGAGAAAGUGGGGGAUCUUCGGACCUCACGCUAUCAGAUGAGCCUAGGUCGGAUUAGCUAGUUGGUGGGGUAAAGGCCUACCAAGGCGACGAUCCGUAACUGGUCUGAGAGGAUGAUCAGCCACACUGGAACUGAGACACGGUCCAGACUCCUACGGGAGGCAGCAGUGGGGAAUAUUGGACAAUGGGCGAAAGCCUGAUCCAGCCAUGCCGCGUGUGUGAAGAAGGUCUUCGGAUUGUAAAGCACUUUAAGUUGGGAGGAAGGGCAGUAAGUUAAUACCUUGCUGUUUUGACGUUACCAACAGAAUAAGCACCGGCUAACUUCGUGCCAGCAGCCGCGGUAAUACGAAGGGUGCAAGCGUUAAUCGGAAUUACUGGGCGUAAAGCGCGCGUAGGUGGUUCAGCAAGUUGGAUGUGAAAUCCCCGGGCUCAACCUGGGAACUGCAUCCAAAACUACUGAGCUAGAGUACGGUAGAGGGUGGUGGAAUUUCCUGUGUAGCGGUGAAAUGCGUAGAUAUAGGAAGGAACACCAGUGGCGAAGGCGACCACCUGGACUGAUACUGACACUGAGGUGCGAAAGCGUGG
rnacentral:rRNA from 1 species